AUGCAUUGGUUCAGGACUUGGAAACUCAUGGAAAUAACAGUACAAGAGGCAAUGGCUCAUUUGGGCUCUAUCAGGAAAGAAAUGGGGAUCCUAGAGAAAAGUGAAUUCACAAAUCUGAGAGCAGAGAAUGAGAAAAUGAAAACUGAAUUAGACCAAGUUAAGCAACAACUAAUACAUGAAACCAGUUGAAUCAGAGCCGAAAAUAAACUGGAUAUCAACCUAGAAAGGAGCAGAGUAACAGAUAUGUUUACAGAUCAAGAAAAGCAACUUAAGGAAGCAACUACAGAAUUUACAAAAACGGAUACCCAAACCAAAAAUAUUAUUUCAGUGACCAGUAAUAAAACUGAUACAGAAAUUGCUUCCUUAAAAACACUGGUGGAGUCUAACAAACUUGAGACAAUUCGUUAUCUUGCAUUCUCAAUAUUUAAUUGCCUGGCAGUAGCAUUGAGAUUUUAGAGAUUCUGGAAGUAGUAUUAAUACUCUUACUGCUGUGGCUAUUGGCUUCUUAGAACACCAAACCAGGAGAGAUUGAUUUGGAACAUUGUCUGUUGCAGCAAAAAUUUACCAUGCAAGAUUAUUCGAAGUAUAUAAGGACUAAAAAGGAAAUGUUUCAGAAUGAGAAGAGACAUUUUGUCUUUCUUGUGUGUGUGUGAGUGUGUGUGUGUGUCUUUUUUAUAUUGAAAAGCUGUAAUUCAAACCUGGUUUAUUUGAGAUAGAAGAGCAUUUUGUCCUUUUGAUAGUUCAUAAAAUUGAACCAGGGUUUUCUUGUGUUUGCUUGAUCAGUUCUGUAAAUCAUACGGGAUCUUGUUGGUAUUGGCUGAAUAUUUGAAAACUAUUCCCUAGCCUACAUACUUAUUACUGAAUUAACUUCCCUGAUAACCAUUGUAUAAUUACAUUUUUCUAUAAAAUAAAAGGUUAUUACAA